GCUUGUCUCAAAGAUUAAGCCAUGCAUGUCUAAGUAUAAACAAAUUUAUAGUGAAACUGCGAAUGGCUCAUUAUAUCAGUUAUAGUUUAUUUGGCGAUAAAAACUACUUGGAUAACCGUAGUAAUUCUAGAGCUAAUACAUGCAUCAUCCCCCAUCUCGGGGUGUAUUUAUUAGAUGGAAACCAAUGCGGGGCAACCCGGUAUAUGGUGAUUCAUAAUAACUUUCGGAUCGAUCUUCGGAUCGAUGCAUCAUUCAAGUUUCUGCCCUAUCAGCUUUGGAUGGUAGGGUAUUGGCCUACCAUGGCUUUAACGGGUAACGGAGAAUUAGGGUUCGAUUCCGGAGAGGGAGCCUGAGAAAUGGCUACCACAUCCAAGG
rnacentral:rRNA from 1 species